CCGGAUUUAUUGGGUUUAAAGGGUGCGUAGGCGGAUUGAUAAGUCAGCGGUGAAACUCACGGGCUCAACCUGUGCCGUGCCGUUGAAACUGUUAAUCUUGAAUGCGGAUGCUGUGGGAGGAAUGUGUAGUGUAGCGGUGAAAUGCAUAGAUAUUACACAGAACACCGAUUGCGAAGGCAUCUCACAAAGCCGUGAUUGACGCUGAGGCACGAAAGUGUGGGGAUCAAACAGGAUUAGAUACCCUGGUAGUCCACUACUGUAAACGAUGAUAACUCGCUGCCGGCGAUAUAAAGUCGGUGGCCCAGCGAAAGCGAUAAGUUAUCCACCUGGGGAGUACGACCGCAAGGUUGAAACUCAAAGGAAUUGACGGGGGCCCGCACAAGCGGAGGAACAUGUGGUUUAAUUCGAUGAUACGCGAGGAACCUUACC
rnacentral:rRNA from 1 species